UACAGAGGGGGCUAGCGUUAUUCGGAAUUAUUGGGCGUAAAGGGCGCGUAGGCGGCCAUGCGUGUCUUCCGUGAAAUCCCCAGGCUUAACCUGGGAACUGCAUCCGAUACUGGAUGGCUUGAAUCCGGGAGAGGGAUGCAGAAUUCCAGGUGUAGCGGUGAAAUGCGUAGAUAUCUGGAGGAACACCGGUGGCGAAGGCGACUCUCUGGUCUGUAACUGACGCUGAGGCGCGAAAGCGUGGGGAGCAAACAGG
rnacentral:rRNA from 1 species